rnacentral:rRNA from 1 species
GACUCCUACGGGAGGCAGCAGUAGGGAUUCUUCCGCAAUGGACGAAAGUCUGCGGAGCAACGCCGCGUGAGUGAUGAAGGUUUUCGGAUCGUAAAGCUCUGUUGUUAGGGAAGAACAAGUACCGUUCGAAUAGGGCGGUACCUUGACGGUACCUAACCAGAAAGCCACGGCUAACUACGUGCCAGCAGCCGCGGUAAUACGUAGGUGGCAAGCGUUGUCCGGAAUUAUUGGGCGUAAAGGGCUCGCAGGCGGUUUCUUAAGUCUGAUGUGAAAGCCCCCGGCUCAACCGGGGAGGGUCAUUGGAAACUGGGGAACUUGAGUGCAGAAGAGGAGAGUGGAAUUCCACGUGUAGCGGUGAAAUGCGUAGAGAUGUGGAGGAACACCAGUGGCGAAGGCGACUCUCUGGUCUGUAACUGACGCUGAGGAGCGAAAGCGUGGGGAGCGAACAGGAUUAGAUACCCUGGUAGUCCACGCCGUAAACGAUGAGUGCUAAGUGUUAGGGGGUUUCCGCCCCUUAGUGCUGCAGCUAACGCAUUAAGCACUCCGCCUGGGGAGUACGGUCGCAAGACUGAAACUCAAAGGAAUUGACGG